rnacentral:rRNA from 1 species
UACAGGGGGGGCAAGCGUUGUUCGGAAUUACUGGGCGUAAAGGGCUCGUAGGCGGCCAACUAAGUCCGACGUGAAAUCCCCAGGCUUAACCUGGGAACUGCGUCGGAUACUGGAUGGCUUGAAUUCGGGAGAGGGAUGCAGAAUUCCAGGUGUAGCGGUGAAAUGCGUAGAUAUCUGGAAGAACACCGGUGGCGCAAGCGGCUUGCUGGGCUGUAACUGACGCUGAGGAACGAAAGCGUGGGGAGCGAACAGG